AUUCAAUUCUAAUUGGAAUGAUUCUGUUAUCUAUGUGGAAGUAAACACAAAACAGCCAGAAACGGCUCCGGACUGUCUGAGGAUCAGGGCACAGAGCACCAGGGGCCCAACAGGAAACAGAAAAGCAAGAAUGGAUGGCGAAGACGCUGACAUGUCUCAGAUCUGUCCUCCAAUAUCUUCUCACUAGGUAAUCCUCUCCUGGGGCAGAGCUGAUCUACCUCCAUGGGCUGCACUCUCACCAUGUGCUGACGACCCCACAUCUCAAUCUCUGGCCCAGUGUCUUUAUGAAGCUCCGCCUGGCCUGCUUCUCAGACUGCCCGUAGCAUCUUCACCGGGAUCACUUCCAAACCCGAACGACUUCUUCACCUUCUCCUCAGCAAACCUCAGCCACUUCUCUCAUCUUCUACACAUGAAAGGCGCUGAAGUCCUUCGGCCUGUAUCGCUUAUGAGCACCGUUCUCGUUAUUCACGAGGAACUCACCGAUGGGGACAGUUCCUGUGCACCAUUCAAGAACUCCGCUUCGCUGAGACAGCGGAACCACCUGCACCACAGAGGAGAUGCCUUUUGAUUAGUGGAAGGGUCCCGAAGAGCAUGUGAUGAUCCCUCAACUACCAGAAACCGUGGAAAGCAGCUCUUUCGACUGUAUUGCUGUUUCUGUGUCCAGAGGAGACAGAACAUCUUGGAGGUUUGAAGUUUCCGAGAGUCGUAGAAAGAAAAGGACAAGACCGCCUCCCGACUUGGGAGCAACUGGGUGAAGGUUGUGCCACCUGCUGAUCUGUGAGGAGGAGACGUGUUUGCUGUGCGGUUUUUGGUGGAGGUAUUCGUCGGAAGCUCCACUUUAAACUUGCUGAGCCUGAGGUGUCUCUUAGACCUCUACAGAACCCACUCAUCUUGUCAGGAGCCAGCCCUUCCAAAUACUGUAUGUGAUCGGACAAAAGACUUCUUUCUAGACUAACUGAAGGGAAAAACAGGGCUUCAUGAUUAGCAGGGAAGGUGCCCAAAUGGCAAAAGGACCGGGACUCCUGAGCCACCAUCCACAAUGUGCAUUUUUCCAAUGACCAUGCCACAGAGACCUUGCAUGGCCCACAAAGUCUAAAAUGUUUACUCUCACAGAAAACACUGGCUGAGGCCUCAUCUGGGUAACGGCAUCUUUUCUAGGCUCUUGAUGAAGGGGCAGAAGCGCGAAGUAGUCACCUUGUAUGUGCAGAUAGUCAGUUUCCUCUUCCUGGUCUCUGUGUUCCUCUGCAGUAACUUGUUACACAUCUGGAAAACCUGCUGCAUGACCGCAUCCUGUCUCAGGUCGUCACGGCCCUUCAGAGUAAUCAAAGCACCAACAACUGGGCACAGUCCAUUUUAUGAUAAAAUCGCACAGAGAGCAUGAGGACAAUGAAAGGGUGCUCAGAAACCCAUCUGAGCAUCUGUACUCCUUUUCAGUCUCUUAAAUAACUAAGACCUGGUCUUUCAUUUAGAAUAUGCUGUAACAUGGGUAGGCAGACGAGUUUAGAAAAACGUUCCCCCUCAAUGCUUCUGGAAUUAGGCUCACUGGAACUCCUCCACUAAUUCCCAGCAUGGCCCAGAGAACUUGGGAGCAGAGUAAGCGAGGAAUGCCGUCCCCUUUCGGAUACAUUUACUAGCAGCUGGCCCAGUGCCAUACUCAGGAUUCUUAAAGCAAGGGCCUUCAACUUGAACUCUUCAAGAAAAUAAGCAACUAUCACCUGAACAGUUUUUCCAUAACAAGCAACCGGAUUGUUAACUUCAUCAUAUCUGUAGUACGUGUCAGAAGUAUCCUUUUACUUCAGUCAACUGUUACAAUGCUGGCCUUCCAGAGACACAAAAAAUUUAAGAAAAGCAAUCUGCUUCUAGAAAAUAAUGUAUUCAUAUUCUGUAAGUUUUCCUCACUUGCAAUUUUUGAGAAGAAAAAUAAAGACCCAAAGCAGGAAGUAAAUAUCAACUACAGUUUUGCUUUGACUUUUUUCACUAAGACACUAAGGACCGCACCCCUGGAGGGGAGUCUCACCUUGACGAGCUGUCUCCUUUCCUUGCCAUCAGAGCCCAAACAGUCUAUUAUUUUAGGUAAAUUUAAACCUCCUGCUAAACGAAAUUCUGCUUUAAAGGAUUGUAUAGUCACCAGAUUUCCGUAUUCUCCAGUGGGGUCCACCUAAUAAAGCAUAUAAAUGAGAGAAGAGAUCAGGUUACACUAUGUGCUUUUAAAGAAGAAUGAAUUAUAAACGACAAUUUUAAUAUUAAACAGGAAUGAAGGACAAUGUGCUGUGGGUUAAGAGCUCAAGUGAUAAUUUACUUCUUGUUUAAAUGAAAGAAACAAAAUUUAACACUGGAAAGGUUUAUGAAGUCACCUCUCUAAACAUCUCUCACUAACGCUGGGGCACACAGUGUUAGAAUAGUGUUGCCAAAAAGCUACUAAAGAACCUGGUUUCAGGUCUCACUGCUGACUUUGUCUGUUAAGUCCUCUGAGAAAGAGUAAACGUCUCACAGAAACAUAGUAAGGUAAAUUUUUAGAAAAGUGUGGAGAGUGGUCUUCUAGGCUGAACUGCUAACUCCGGCAUUUUCGGAAAUAUUCGGCUGACUACCUUUGCUAAUGUAGUCAGAAAGGUAUCAGUUAAUCCAUAUGAUGCAGCUACAUUUCAACUCGAAUAACUACAUAUACUAAGAAUGUAGUCAAAUGAUCCUUCUGAAAAAGUUUUAAAGUUUCUAUUUUAAUUCCAGCUAUUUAACUUACAGUUACUAGUUUCCGGUGCACAAUAUACUGAUUCAGCACUUCCAUACGUUACCUGGUGCUCAUCAUGACAGGUGCACUCCUUCAUCCUCAUCCCCCGUUUCCCCCGUCCGCCCACCCACCUCCC